rnacentral:rRNA from 1 species
UCGGGAAUUUUGGGCAAUGGGCGAAAGCCUGACCCAGCAACGCCGCGUGAAGGAUGAAGUAUUUCGGUAUGUAAACUUCGAAAGAAUAGGAAGAAUAAAUGACGGUACUAUUUAUAAGGUCCGGCUAACUACGUGCCAGCAGCCGCGGUAAUACGUAGGGACCAAGCGUUGUUCGGAUUUACUGGGCGUAAAGGGCGCGUAGGCGGCAAUUCAAGUCAUCUGUGAAAUCUCCGGGCUUAACUCGGAACGGUCAGAUGAUACUACUUUGCUAGAGUGCAGAAGGGGCAAUCGGAAUUCUUGGUGUAGCGGUGAAAUGCGUAGAUAUCAAGAGGAACACCUGAGGUGAAGACGGGUUGCUGGGCUGACACUGACGCUGAGGCGCGAAAGCCAGGGGAGCAAACGGGAUUAGAUACCCCCGUAGUCCCUGACGG